AGGGAUUGCCUCAGUAACGGCGAGUGAAGCGGCAACAGCUCAAAUUUGAAAUCUGGCCCCAGGCCCGAGUUGUAAUUUGCAGAGGAUGCUUUUGGCGAGGUGCCUUCCGAGUUCCCUGGAACGGGACGCCAUAGAGGGUGAGAGCCCCGUACGGUUGGACACCAAGUCUUUGUAAAGCUCCUUCGACGAGUCGAGUAGUUUGGGAAUGCUGCUCAAAAUGGGAGGUAUAUUUCUUCUAAAGCUAAAUAUUGGCCAGAGACCGAUAGCGCACAAGUAGAGUGAUCGAAAGAUGAAAAGCACUUUGAAAAGAGGGUUAAACAGCACGUGAAAUUGUUAAAAGGGAAGCGCUUAUGACCAGACUUGCGCCCGGUGAAUCACCCAGCUCUCGCGGCUGGGGCACUUUGCCGGCUCAGGCCAGCAUCAGCUCGCUGUCGGGGACAAAAGCUUCGGGAACGUAGCUCUCUUCGGGGAGUGUUAUAGCCCGUUGCAUAAUACCCUUCGGCGGGCUGAGGUACGCGCUCCGCAAGGAUGCUG
rnacentral:rRNA from 1 species